rnacentral:rRNA from 1 species
UACAGAGGUGGCAAGCGUUGUUCGGAAUUACUGGGCGUAAAGGGCGCGUAGGCGGUUCUGUAAGUCCCGCGUGAAAUCCCCCGGCUCAACUGGGGAACUGCGCGGGAAACUGUGGGGCUAGAGUUCAGGAGAGGGAAGCGGAAUUCCGGGUGUAGCGGUGAAAUGCGUAGAUAUCCGGAGGAACACCGGUGGCGAAGGCGGCUUCCUGGACUGACACUGACGCUGAGGCGCGAAAGCGUGGGGAGCGAUCCGG